rnacentral:rRNA from 1 species
GACGAACGCUGGCGGCGUGCCUAAUACAUGCAAGUCGAACGCUGAAGGAGGAGCUUGCUUCUCUGGAUGAGUUGCGAACGGGUGAGUAACGCGUAGGUAACCUGCCUGGUAGCGGGGGAUAACUAUUGGAAACGAUAGCUAAUACCGCAUAAUAGCAGUUAUUGCAUGAUAACUGUUUGAAAGGUGCAAUUGCACCACUACCAGAUGGACCUGCGUUGUAUUAGCUAGUUGGUGGGGUAACGGCUCACCAAGGCGACGAUACAUAGCCGACCUGAGAGGGUGAUCGGCCACACUGGGACUGAGACACGGCCCAGACUCCUACAGGAGGCAGCAGUAGGGAAUCUUCGGCAAUGGACGGAAGUCUGACCGAGCAACGCCGCGGGAGUGAAGAAGGUUUUCGGAUCGUAAAGCUCUGUUGUAAGAGAAGAACGAGUGUGAGAGUGGAAAGUUCACACUGUGACGGUAUCUUACCAGAAAGGGACGGCUAACUACGUG